rnacentral:tRNA from 2 species
UGAUUCAUAGUGUAAUGGCAGCACACAAGAUUUUGAUUCUUGGAGUUUAGGUUCGAGUCCUAAUGAAUCAACAA